rnacentral:lncRNA from 1 species
GGACGCUCCCCCGCCCUCAAGGAGCGGAAACCACGCGACCCUGUAAGAGCAGUAGCCGUUGGCGGUCUCACACGUCGUUUAGAACGGCCCUUUCCUUCUAUUGGCUGUUAGUCCCAUCGUUUCCGAGAAUGCACUCCUUCCUCAUCUCAGUCGAUUGAAAUUCCUGGUUUCCUUCAAGACCUAUCUCACACUGCAUUUUCUGCAUGACGGUGUUCCUGAUCAUCUGAACUCCUAGUACCUUCUCCCGCAAGGCUACCUCUUACCAGGGAAGACCAGAGAGCUUUUCUUUUCAUCCGACUGAUCCUCAAAAGCCUGGCCCUCCAAAGAAUUGGAAAUUGAGAGAAUGCCCAUCAAUUGGGGGAUGGCUGAGCAAGUUGUGGUAUAUGAAUGUAAUGGAAUACUAUUGUGCUAUAAGAAAUGAUGAACAGGCUGACUUCAGAAAAACAUGGAAAGACUUAUAUGAUCUGAUGCUGAGUGAAGUGAGCAGAACCAAGAGGACUUUGUACAC